rnacentral:lncRNA from 1 species
ACCAAGUAUUGGAUUGUCACCCACCAAUAAGGAACGUAAGCUGGGUUUAGACCGUCAUGAGAUAGGUUAGUUUUACCCUACUGAUGAUAAUGUCGCAAUAAAAAUUCAACCUAGUAUGAGAGGAACUGUUGAUUCGCACAAUUGGUCAUCGCGCUAGGUUGAAAAGCCAGUGGCGCGAAGCUACCGUGCGCUGGAUUAUGACUGAACGCCUCUAAGUCAGAAUCCAGGAUAGAAGCGACGCAUGCGCCCGCCGUCCACUUGCCGACCCGUAGUAGGGGCCUUUGGCCCCCAAGGGCACGCGUCGUUGGCUAAAUCAUCGCAGCGGAAGAGCCGCGGUGGCCGCCUUGAAGUACAAUUUCCAUCGAGCGGCGGGUAGAAUCCUUUACAAAGGACAUAAAUACGUGACGGGGUAUUGUAAGUGGAAAAGUGGCCUUGCUGCCACGAUCCCCUGAGAUUCAGCCCUUUGUCGCUCCGAUUCGUCCCUCCUUCUCCCAAUCCUUUGCAGGCAACUUAAACACACGAAGGGGUAUUGGAAGUGGCAGAGUGGCCUUGCUGCCACGAUCCAAUGAGAUUCAGCCCUCUGUCGCUCCGUUUCGUCCCUCCCCCUCUAAUCCAAUCAUUUUCUAACUUUUCCGAUAAGAGGUUCACUCCUACCUUGAUAAUAUAUUAUACUAAGUGUUGGAAAAAUCGAACAAGUCCUCAAGACCUUGGAACGUAUAGUAGUUGUGCAUUAAGUGGAAAUGUGACAUGACACUUAGUCACGUCGAGGGAAAUACCAAACCAAAUCACACUACUAAGAGGCUUUUCAGGGUGUCGCUUGAGAGGUCAAGGCCUAUGCCAAGGUUUUUCAGGGUGUCGCUUGAGAGGCAAAGACCUAUGCCACGAGCGCAAGGCAUGGCCAUGGCAUGAGUUAGGACGUCCCAGGACAUGGCCGGGCGUGGCCAUGGCACGGACUAGAACGUGUCUGUACGUCGCAACACAUGGCGGGACACGAGUAAGGACGUCGCAGGACAUGGCAGGGCGUGGCCAUGGCACGAGUCAGGACGCGACAGGACAUGGCCAUGGUACGUGUCAGGACGCGUUUGGAAAUGGUAGGGCGUGACCAUGGCACGAGUCAGGACAUCGCAGGACAUGGCAAGGCAUGGCCAUGGCACGAGUCAGGACGUCGUAGGACGAGUCAGGACAUGGCCAUGGCACGUGUCAGGAUGCACCAGGACAUGGCAGUGGCACGUGUUAGGACGCAUCAGGACACGACAGGUUGUGGCCAUGGCAUGACUCAUGAUGUCGUAGGACAUGGCACGAGUCAGGACGUUGCAGGACGCGUCAGGACAUAGCCGUGGUACGUGUGAGGACGCAUCAGGACUUGGCCAUGGCAUGUGUAGGACGCGUCAGGACAUGGCAGGGCGUGGCCAUGGCACGAUUUGGGACGUCGCAGGACAUGGCAAAGCGUGGCCAUGGAACAAGUCGGGACGUCGAAGGACGCGUCCAGACAUGGCCAUGGCCUGUGUCAGGACGCGUAUGGACAUAGCAGUGGCACGUGUCAAGACGCGUCAGGACAUGGCAGGGCGUGGCCAUGGCAUGACUCAUGACAUCGUAGGAAAUGGCAGGGCGUGGUCAUGGCACGAGUCAGGACGUCGCAGGACGUGUCAGGACAUGGCCAUGGUACGUGUUAGGAUACAUCAGGACAUGACCAUGGCACGUGUCAGGACGCGUCAGGCAAUGGUAGGGCGUGGCCAUGGCACGAGUGGGGACGUUGCAAGACGCGUCAGGACAUGGUCGCCGCACGUGUCAGGAAAUGGCAGGGCGUGGCUAUGUCACGAGUCAGGACGUCGCAGGACAUGGCAGUAUAUGGCCAUGGUACGUGUCAGGACGUGUCAGGACAUGGCCAUGGCACGACAUAUAUGAAAAGGACUUUAAAAAGAGAGUCACCACGUCGCUCCAAGCCGCAGCACGUCUCUCUAAGCUGCACCAUGUCGCACCAUGUCUAUUGCUAGCCAAUGCUUAGAAACAUGUCAAACGCAAUGAUGUUGGUGACCAUUGGCGGCGGUGGUGGAAAAUCAGGGUGGUUCAAGCGGUAGCGUCCGGCGACGAUCGGUCGACGCUUUUUAGUUGGCGGCAGUUGCUUCAAAUCCUAAUCACUUGCUGUGGUUGGGAAACAUGUCAAGCGCAAUGAUGUUGGUGGUCGUUGGUAGCGGUGGUGGAAAGUCGCAGUGGUUCGAGCAGUAUCCGCCGGCGACGGUUGGUCGACGCUUUGUGGUUGGUGGAGGUUUAUUAAAAUCGGAAUCCCUUGUUAUGGUUGCAACAAUAGAUGUGCCUCAUGCUUAUUGGUACGCUCGUGGAACUUGGGUUUUUUUAAAGGAUGUAUAAGGGGGUAGAGGUAUUGAGAGGCUCCUCAGGUGCUUGCUUCCAGGAAGGGGUGGGCAUGCAUGGGGGACGCUGGCAUGGGGCGUGGGCAUUGGGGGCAUGCACGGCUUGUCCGUGCUACGUCCUCCAUGUUCCAAAACCGCGCCGGCAAGUAAUCGUGUGGGCUUUUAUUAAGCCUGGUGGUGGCACUGCUCGUGGCAAACAUUGGUUUUGGCAACGAAGGUGGAGCGUCAUGCAAGUAGCGCCGCAAGGUGCUGUGCGCAUGGGGCGAAGCUCAGUACUUGUUGAUCUCCAUUGGAUGUUGCGGGCCAAAUCGGGAGGCAACAUCGCUCGUGGCGGCUGAUUGCUUUUGACAACAGAACGGCAAAGCAUCGUGCAAGUAGCGCCGCGAGGUGCUGUGCGCAUGGAACGAAGCUUAGUAAGUUUUUGAUUGCCAUUGGUUAUUGUGGAUUGUGUCUUGAAUCUCUCGUGGCGGCUGAUGGCUUUCGACAACGAACGGCGGAGCAUCGUGCAAGUAGCAUCGCAAGGUGCUGUGCGUAUGUGGCGAAGCUUAGUAAAUGUCGAUUGCCAUCGGUUGUUGCGAGCAACAUCGCUCAUGGCAGUUGAUGUCUUUCGGCAAUGGAACAGCGGAUCAUCGUGCAAGUAGCGCCGCAAGGUGUCGAGCGCAUGGGGUGAAGCUUAGUAAGUUGCCUAUUGCCAUCGAUUGUUGUGGGUUGUGUCUAUAAACCCCCCUCCGUGGCGGCUUAUGGCUUUUGACAACGAACAACAAAGCAUCGUGCAAGUAGCACCGCAAGGUGGUGUGCGCACGAGGCGAAGCUCAGUAGAUGUUCAUUGCCAUCGGUUGUUGUGAGAAACAUCGAGAGGCCACAUUGCUCGUGGCGGCUGAUGGCUUUUGGCAACAAAAUGGCAAAGCAUCGUGCAAGUAGCGCCGCAAGGUGCCGUGAGCACGGGGCGAAGCUUAGUAAGUUGCUGNNNNNNNNNNNNNNNNNNNNNNNNNNNNNNNNNNNNNNNNNNNNNNNNNNNNNNNNNNNNNNNNNNNNNNUGUAAGCAUCGUGCAAGUAGCGCCGCAAGGUGCCAUGCAUAUGGGGCGAAGCUUAUUGAGUUGCUAAUUCCAUCGGUUAUUGUGGGCAACAUCGGGAGGCGACAUCGCUCGUGGUGGCUGAUGGCUUUUGGGAACAAAAUGGCAAAGCAUCGUGCAAGUAGCGCCGCAAGGUGCUGUGCGUACAGGGCAAAGCUUAGUAAGUUCCGAUUUCCAUCGGUUGUAGCGGGUAACAUCUGGAGGCGACAUCGCUCGUUGUGGUUGAAGGGUAUUGGCAACAAAAUGGCAAAGCAUCGUGCAAGUAGAACCGCAAGGUGCCGUGCUCACGGGGCGAAGCUUAGUAAGUUGCUGAUUUCCAUCAGUUGUUGCUGGAAAAUUGGAAGGCAACAUCGCUCGUGGCGGCUGAUGGCUUUUCGCAAUGGAAUGGCAAAGCAUCGUACAAGUAGCGCCGCAAGGUGCCAUGCGCAUGGGGCGAAGCUCAGUAAAUUUCCAAUUGCCAUCGGUUGUUGUUGUUUGUGUCUAGCAUUGUUCAAACCUCCUAUUCGUGCUUUGCGGGGCUUGUCUUGGCUUUGCAAUGUUGGCAUCGGCAAAAACACACGGCUGCACGUCACGUGUCUGGGCUAGUGUUUACUUUGUAUCGGCGAGGCAAGUUUUUGUGUUUCAUACGUAAUGCAAAGGCAUUAUCAAGCACAACUGGUCGCCUUUCGCCCCUCGCGUUUGACGUGCGGGGAGAACCAAAAGCUGCAGUGUGUCCCAGGUUGUCCUGGCUUCGCCAUGCGAUGGCUUGGUCAACGACUUAACAUGCUCGAGCUCUCGAAUUUGGUUAACGCAAUGGGCAUGGGGCCAUCAUUAGCUCCUAUCAAUCCAAAGAAUGCUCCUUACGAAUGAUGAUCGUGCUCGCCUUAGACUUGGCCGUGCCCUUUUGAGUUGGCCACGCUUAUGCGACGCUGGCGUCAAUGAGGAAUGCUACCUGGUUGAUCCUGCCAAUAGUCAUAUGCUUGCCUCUAAGAUUAAGCCAUGCAUGUGUAAGUAUGAACAAAUUCAGACUGUGAAACUGCGAAUGGCUCAUUAAAUCGGUUAUUGUUUGUUUGAUGGUAUCUACUACUCGGAUAACCGUAGUAAUUCUAGAGCUAAUACGUGCAACAAUCCCCGACUUCUGGAAGGGAUGCAUUUAUUAGAUAAAAGGUCGACGCGGGCUCUGCCCGUUGCUGCGAUGAUUCAUGAUAACUCGAUUCUGGAAGGGUUGCAUUUAUUAGAUAAAGGUCGACGCGGGCUCUGCACGUUGCUGCGAUGAUUCAUGAUAACUCGUCGAAUCUUACGGCCAUCAUGCCGGCGACGCAUCAUUCAAAUUUCUGACCUAUAUAUUUUCGAUGGUAGGAUAGUGGCCUACCAUGGUGGUGACAGGUGACGAAGAAUUAGGGUUCGAUUCCGGAGAGGGAGCCUGAGAAAUGGCUACCACAUCAAAGGAAGGCAGCAGGCGCGCAAAUUACCCAAUCCUGACACGGGUAGGUAGUGACAAUAAAUAAUAGAAUCGGGCUUUAUGAGUCUGGUAAUUGGAAUGUGUACAAUCUAAAUACCUUAACGAGGAUCCAGUGGAGGGCAAGUCUGGUGCUAGAAGACGCGGUAAAUCCAGCUGCAAUAGCGUAUAUUUAAGUUGUUGUAGUUAAAAAGCUCGUAGUUGGACUUUGGGAUGGGCCGGCCUGUCCGCCUUUGGUGUGCACCAAUCGUCUCGUCCCUUCUGUCGGUGAUGUGCUUCUGGCCUUAAUUAGCCGGGUCGUGCCUCCGUCGAGGUGUGCACUGGUCGUCUCGUCCCUUCUGCCGGCGAUGUUCUCCUGGCCUUACUUGGCCGGGUCAUGCCUCCGGCACUGUUACUUUGAAGAAAUUAGAGUGCUCAAAGCAAGCUACGCUCUGUAAACAUUAGCAUGGGAUAACAUUAUAGGAUUUCGAUGCUAUUACAUUGGCCUUCGGGAUCGGAGUAAUGAUUAACAGGGACAGUCCGAUCAUUCGUAUUUCAUAGUCAGACGUGAAAUUCUUGGAUAUAUGGAAGACGAACAACUGCGAAAGCAUUUUCCAAGGAUGUUUUCAUUAGUCAAGAACGAAAGUUGGGGGCUCGAAGACGAUCAGAUUUCGUCCUAGUCUCAACCAUAGACGAUGCCGACCAGGGAUCGGCGGAUGUUGCUUUUAGAACUCCGCCGACACGUUAUGAGAAAUUAAUGUUUUUGGGUUCCAGGGGGAGUAUGGUUGCAAGGGUGAAACUUAAAGGAAUUGAUGGAAGGGCACCACCAGGAGUUGAGCCUGCGGUUUAAUUUGACUCAACGCGGGGAAACUUACACGGUCCACACAUACUAAGGAUUAAUAGAAUGAGAGCUCUUUCUUGAUUCUAUGGGUGGUGGUGCAUGGCCGUUCUUUGUUGGUGGACCGAUUUUUCUGGUUAAUUCUUUUAACGAACGAGACCUCAGCCUGCUAACUAGCUAUGCGGAGGUAUCCCUUCACGGCCAGCUUAUUAGAGGGACUACGGCCUUUUAGGCCGCGGAAGUUUGAGGCAAUAACAGGUCUGUGAUGCCCUUAGAUGUCCUGGGCCGCACACGC